GAUGAACGCUAGCGACAGGCUUAACACAUGCAAGUCGAGGGGCAGCGAGGGCGUAGCAAUACGCCUGUCGGCGACCGGCGCACUGGUGAGUAACACGUAUGCGACCUGCCCCCUACAGGGGUAUAACCCGUAGAAAUGCGGACUAAUCCCCCAUAGUCCUGGGUGCUGCAUGGCAUUCAGGGGAAAGGCCAGCCGGUAGGGGAUGGGCAUGCGGCGCAUUAGCUAGUUGGCGGGGCAACGGCCCACCAAGGCGACGAUGCGUAGGGUUCUGAGAGGAAGGUCCCCCACACUGGUACUGAGACACGGACCAGACUCCUACGGGAGGCAGCAGUGAGGAAUAUUGGUCAAUGGGCGCAGGCCUGAACCAGCCAAGUCGCGUGAGGGAUGACGGUCCUACGGAUUGUAAACCUCUUUUGUCGGGGAGUAACGUGCGGGACGGGUCCCGUAUUGAGAGUACCCGAAGAAAAAGCAUCGGCUAACUCCGUG
rnacentral:rRNA from 1 species